rnacentral:tRNA from 1 species
GCCGACGUAGCUCAAUUGGCAGAGCACAGCAUUCGUAAUGCUGAGGUUGUGGGUUCAAGUCCCACCGUCGGCUC